rnacentral:rRNA from 1 species
GUACACGCUGUGACUAGCAUAUCAAUAAGCGGAGGAAAAGAAACUAACAAGGAUUCCCCUAGUAACGGCGAGUGAAGCGGGAAGAGCUCAAAUUUGAAAUCUUAAAGGGUUUCCCUUUACGAAUUGUAGUUUAAAGAAGUGUUUUCUGUUGAGGUUUUGGUAAAAGUUCUUUGGAAUAGGACAUCAUAGAGGGUGAGAAUCCCGUAUUUGACCUUUACUUUCAACUUUGUGAUACACUUUCAAAGAGUCGGAUUGUUUGGGAAUGCAGUCCAAAAUGGGUGGUAAAUUUCAUCUAAAGCUAAAUAUUGGCGAGAGACCGAUAGCGAACAAGUACCGUGAGGGAAAGAUGAAAAGAACUUUGAAAGGAGAGUUAAACAGUACGUGAAAUUGUCAAAAGGGAAGCGUUUGACACCAGUGUUGUUUUUCUGAAAAUCAAUUAAAGAACUGUUUAUGCUAAGUUGUUUAGACUUUAUCAGCUAACUGUUUAGUUUUGAGCUUUUCUUUAAUGCACUUUUCAGUUAACAAGUCAACAUCAAUUUCUUUUGCUGUAAAAAAGCUUGAGGAAGGUGGCUUGAGAUUCGUCUUAAGUGUUUAUAGCCUCUUGCCUAUGCAGUCGGAGAGAUUGAGGUCUGCAGCGUAGAUCCUUCGGGGCUAAAUGCAUUUGUGACUAAGUUAUAGCAUUUCAUAGACAACUUGUUGACUAUGAUUUGUCUUGUAGCUUACUCGCUUAUGUUAUUUUACCUACGCUUAGGAUGUUGACAGCAGUAUAGACUGU